rnacentral:misc_RNA from 1 species
GUUGAAGAACGUAGCGAAAUGCGAUAAGUAAUGUGAAUUGCAGAAUUCAGUGAAUCAUCGAAUCUUUGAACGCACAUUGCGCCCCUUGGUAUUCCGAGGGGCAUGCCUGUUCGAGCGUCAUUAUAACCCUCAAGCUCAGCUUGGUGUUGGGGCCUGCUGCACUGGCAGCCCUUAAAAUCAGUGGCGGCGCCAUCUGGCUCUAAGCGUAGUAAUUCUUCUCGCUAUGGAGUCCUGGUGGAUGCUUGCCAUCAACCCCCAAUUUUUCUAUGGUUGACCUCGGAUCAGGUAGGGAUACCCGCUGGACUUAAGCAUAUCAAUAACGGAGGA